ensembl:snoRNA
CAGCAUGUUUCCAAGGGCUGUGGCUGAUUGUGGCCAUGAGAUCUCCAACUGCAUGCGAGAACAACUUGGAGAGACUUUGACAGCUCAGGUCUGCACAAUACCUGUUGUUGCUGCCACUCGCCUUUCCUAUAAUG